UACAGAGGAUGCAAGCGUUAUCCGGAAUGAUUGGGCGUAAAGCGUCUGUAGGUGGCUUUUUAAGUCCGCCGUCAAAUCCCAGGGCUCAACUCUGGACAGGCGGUGGAAACUACCAAGCUGGAGUACGGUAGGGGCAGAGGGAAUUUCCGGUGGAGCGGUGAAAUGCGUUGAUAUCCUAAGGAACACCGGUGGCGAAAGCGGCUCACUGGGUCUCUUCUGACGCUGAGGCACGAAAGCUAGGGUAGCGAACGGG
rnacentral:rRNA from 1 species